rnacentral:rRNA from 1 species
CAGCCGCCGCGGUAAUACGUAGGGUGCAAGCGUUAAUCGGAAUUACUGGGCGUAAAGCGUGCGCAGGCGGUUUGUUAAGACAGAUGUGAAAUCCCCGGGCUCAACCUGGGAACUGCAUUUGUGACUGGCAAGCUAGAGUAUGGCAGAGGGGGGUGGAAUUCCGCGUGUAGCAGUGAAAUGCGUAGAUAUGCGGAGGAACACCGAUGGCGAAGGCAGCCCCCUGGGCCAAUACUGACGCUCAUGCACGAAAGCGUGGGGAGCAAACAGGAUUAGAUACCCCCGUAGUCCCUGUCUCUUAUAC